rnacentral:rRNA from 1 species
UGAAGCUGGAAUUGCUAGUAAUGGCAGGUCAGUAUACUGCCGUGAAUACGUUCCCGGGCCUUGUACACACCGCCCGUCACACCAUGAGAGUUGGGAAUACCCGAAGCCUGUGAGCUAACUUAUAGAGGCAGCAGUCGAAGGUAGAAUCAAUGAUUGGGGUGAAGUCGUAACAAGGUACC